AUACGUAGGGUGCGAGCGUUGUCCGGAAUUACUGGGCGUAAAGAGCUCGUAGGUGGUUUGUCGCGUCGUCUGUGAAAUUCCGGGGCUUAACUCCGGGCGUGCAGGCGAUACGGGCAUAACUUGAGUACUGUAGGGGAGACUGGAAUUCCUGGUGUAGCGGUGAAAUGCGCAGAUAUCAGGAGGAACACCGGUGGCGAAGGCGGGUCUCGGGGCAGUAACUGACGCUGGGGAGCGAAAGCAUGGGUAGCGACCAGGAUUAGAUACCCGGGUAGUCCAUGCCGUAAACGGUGGGCGCUAGGUGUAGGGGUCUUCCACGACUUCUGUGCCGUAGCUAACGCAUUAAGCGCCCCGCCUGGGGAGUACGGCCGCAAGGCUAAAACUCAAAGGAAUUGACGGGG
rnacentral:rRNA from 1 species